GACGAACGCUGGCGGCGUGCUUAACACAUGCAAGUCGAACGGAAAGGCCCUGCUUUUGUGGGGUGCUCGAGUGGCGAACGGGUGAGUAACACGUGAGUAACCUGCCCUUGACUUUGGGAUAACUUCAGGAAACUGGGGCUAAUACCGGAUAGGAGCUCCUGCUGCAUGGUGGGGGUUGGAAAGUUUCGGCGGUUGGGGAUGGACUCGCGGCUUAUCAGCUUGUUGGUGGGGUAGUGGCUUACCAAGGCUUUGACGGGUAGCCGGCCUGAGAGGGUGACCGGCGACAUUGGGACUACGAUACGGCCCAGACUCCUACGGGAGGCAGCAGUGGGGAAUAUUGCACAAUGGGCGGAAGCCUGAUGCAGCAACGCCGCGUGCGGGAUGACGGCCUUCGGGUUGUAAACCGCUUUCGCCUGUGACGAAGCGUGAGUGACGGUAAUGGGUAAAGAAGCACCGGCUAACUACGUG
rnacentral:rRNA from 1 species